rnacentral:rRNA from 1 species
GCGAUUCGCCCUUCGGGGUGCAGCAGGCGCGAAAACUUUGCAAUACACGAAAGUGUGACAAGGUCAUCCCGAGUGCCGACCGCUGAGGUUGGCUUUUACCCAGUCUAGAAAGCUGGGGGAAUAAGGAGAGGGCAAGUCUGGUGUCAGCCGCCGCGGUAAUACCAGCUCUCCGAGUGGUGUGGACUUUUAUUGGGCCUAAAGCAUCCGUAGCUGGCUGAACAAGUCCCCUGUUAAACCCACCGAUUUAAUCGUUGGACUGCGGGGGAUACUGCUCGACUAGGGAACGAGAGAGGCAAAAGGUAUUCCCGGGGUAGGGGUGAAAUCCUAUAAUCCCGAAAAGACCACCAGUGGCGAAGGCUGUCUGCUAGAACGCGCCCGACGGUGAGGGAUGAAAGCUGGGGGAGCGAACCGGAUUAGAUACCCGGGUAGUCCCAGCUGUAAACGAUGCAGACUAGGUGUUUGGACGGCCACGUGCCGUUCUAGUGCCGCAGGGAAGCUGUUAAGUCUGCCGCCUGGGGAGUACGAUCGCAAGAUUGAAACUUAAAGGAAUUGGCGGGGGAGCAC